GUGAUAGCUCGAAGGAUAUAAUUUUCAGAGUACUCGUCCUGUUUCUCCAUUAGCCUGCAAAGACCCACAAAUUUCUAGCUCCUGCACAGCAGCAUGGUUUUUCACAUCCUUUGCCAAUAGGGCCUCAAUCUCUUCUUUUACAAAGCAACAUUAUGACUACAACUUCCCUGGUGGCGCAGUGGUUAAGAAUCCGCCUGCCAAUGCAGGGGACACGGGUUCGUGCCCUGGUCUGGGAAGAUCCCACAUGCCGUGGAGCAAGUAAGCCCAUGAGCCACAACUACUGAGCCUGCGCUCUAGAGCCCAUGUCCAAGACUACUGAGCCUGCGUGCCACAACUACUGAAGCCCGCAUGUCUAGAGUCCAUGCUCCGCAACAAGAGAAGCCACCACAAUGAGAAGCCCGCGCACCACAAUGAAGAGUAGCCCCCACUCACCGCAAGUAGAGAAAGCCUGCGUGCAGCAACGAAGACCCAAUGCAGCCAUAAAUAAAUAAAUAAAUAAAUAAAAGGAAUUGGCUGGUCUUUGUCCCCAGUUCUUGAGAAAUAACCAUAAACCUUUGGAAUUUCCUGAGUGACAGGAGUGUAUCUGUUAUUCAUGAUGGACCCCUUGGAUCACACUUGAGUUUAUACUUAUAAGAUGACUCAGGAUGGGGGCUGGUCAUGCUAGAAUAACCAGCCAUAUGAUUAUAGUGAUGGGACUUUGAGCCAGGUGAUACCAACCUGACCUCCAGGGAGGGGAGGGUGGUUAGAAGUCGAGUUUAAACAUGUGGUCAAUGAUUUAAUCAAUCAUGUUUACGUAACAAAACCC